rnacentral:rRNA from 1 species
CUACGGGCUGCUGCAGUGAGGAAUUUUGCGCAAUGGGGGGAACCCUGACGCAGCAACGCCGCGUGAGUGAUGAAGGCUUUCGGGUCGUAAAGCUCUGUCAAGUGGGAAGAACCUAUGCAGUGUUAAUAUCACUGUAUACUGACGGUACCACUGAAGGAAGCACCGGCUAACUCCGUGCCAGCAGCCGCGGUAAUACGGGGGGUGCAAGCGUUAUUCGGAAUCAUUGGGCGUAAAGGGCACGUAGGCGGCUUGGUAAGUCAGAUGUGAAAGCCCGGGGCUUAACCCCGGAAGUGCAUUUGAUACUGUCAGGCUUGAGUAUGGGAGAGGGAAGUGGAAUUCCUGGUGUAGAGGUGAAAUUCGUAGAUAUCAGGAGGAACACCGGUGGCGAAGGCGACUUCCUGGACCAAUACUGACGCUGAGGUGCGAAGGCGUGGGUAGCAAACGGGAUUAGAUACCCUUGUAGUC